rnacentral:rRNA from 1 species
UACGUAGGAAGCGAGCGUUGUCCGGAAUCACUGGGCGUAAAGCGCGUGUAGGCGGUACGGCAAGUCUGCUGUGAAAGCGCCCGGCUUAACCGGGCGAGGUCGGCGGAAACUGCUGAACUGGAGGACGGUAGAGGGGGGUGGAAUUCCCGGUGUAGUGGUGAAAUGCGUAGAGAUCGGGAGGAACACCUGUGGCGAAGGCGGCCCCCUGGGCCCGGACCUGACGCUGAGACGCGAAGGCGCGGGGAGCGAACGGG